ACGGGAGAUGCUAGCGUUGUUCGGAAUCACUGGGCUUAAAGCGCGUGUAGGCGGAUCGGUGCGUCGGCGCCUGAAAUCCCCCGGCCCAACCGAGGAAUUGCGCUUCAAACCGGCGAACUUGAGGAGGAUAGAGGUGGGCGGAACUGAUGGUGGAGCGGUGAAAUGCGUUGAUAUCAUCAGGAACACCGGAGGCGAAAGCGGUCCACUGGGUCCUUUCUGACGCUGAGGGACGAAAGCUAGGGGAGCGAACGGGA
rnacentral:rRNA from 1 species